AGAUCAUUAUAAGGAAAUCUCAUCAAGAAUAACUUAAACCGUUCCCAUGCUUGGUAUAAUUUCUCUCAACAUUUUUUCCUAAAACUAAAUAUAUUACUCCUUAAUUU